rnacentral:rRNA from 1 species
GCUUUCAGGCCACACCGCUGGUUCACGCCCGAUCUCGUUUGAUCUCGGAAGCUAAGAUAGGUUGGGCCUGGUUAGUACUUGGAUGGGAGACCGCCUGGGAAUACCAGGUGCUGUAAGCU